GACGAACGCUGGCGGCGUGCUUAACACAUGCAAGUCGAACGGUGAACGAGGGAGCUUGCUCCCUCCGGAUCAGUGGCGAACGGGUGAGUAACACGUGAGCAAUCUGCCCCGAACGCUGGGAUAAUCGUUGGAAACGACGUCUAAUACCGGAUACGACUCGGGAGGGCAUCCUCUCCGCGUAGAAAGAACUUCGGUUCGGGAUGAGCUCGCGGCCUAUCAGGUUGUUGGUGGGGUAACGGCUCACCGAGGGGACGAAGGGUAGCCGGGCUGGGAGGGUGACCGGCCAAAAUGGGAAUGGGACAAGGCCCAGAAUGCUAAGGGAGGCAGGAGGGGGGAAUAUUGCAAAAUGGGCGCAAGCCUGAUGCAGAACCGCCGCGUGAGGGACGACGGCCUUCGGGUUGUAAACAUCUUUUAGCAGGGAAGAAGAGAAAGUGACGGUACCUGCAGAAAAAGCAACGGCUAACUACGUG
rnacentral:rRNA from 1 species